rnacentral:lncRNA from 1 species
GAGGGGCUUUCAGUGUAGCUGCUAAGGGGAUUCCUCGGAAGGGCAUGAAGGACAGCCACGAGAACAGGGCUAAAGCGCUAACACUGGAAAAGAACUAGUAUGCUGGGAGAAGUUAAAGAGCGAAAUAAGAAAUAAGCUAAUCCUGCACUUCUAC